UACGUAGGGUGCGAGCGUUGUCCGGAAUUACUGGGCGUAAAGAGCUCGUAGGCGGUUUGUCGCGUUGUCCGUGAAAACUCACAGCUCAACUGUGGGCGUGCGGGCGAUACGGGGCAGACUGGAGUACUGCAGGGGAGACUGGAAUUCCUGGUGUAGCGGUGGAAUGCGCAGAUAUCAGGAGGAACACCGGUGGCGAAGGCGGGUCUCUGGGCAGUAACUGACGCUGAGGAGCGAAAGCGUGGGGAGCGAACAGG
rnacentral:rRNA from 1 species